rnacentral:rRNA from 1 species
AUUGAACGCUGGCGGCAGGCUUAACACAUGCAAGUCGAGCGGGGUGAUGGUGCUUGCACUAUCACUUAGCGGCGGACGGGUGAGUAAUGCUUAGGAAUCUGCCUAUUAGUGGGGGACAACAUCUCGAAAGGGAUGCUAAUACCGCAUACGUCCUACGGGAGAAAGCAGGGGACCACUUGUGACCUUGCGCUAAUAGAUGAGCCUAAGUCGGAUUAGCUAGUUGGUGGGGGAAAGGCCUACCAAGGCGACGAUCUGUAGCGGGUCUGAGAGGAUGAUCCGCCACACUGGGACUGAGACACGGCCCAGACUCCUACGGGAGGCAGCAGUGGGGAAUAUUGGACAAUGGGGGGAACCCUGAUCCAGCCAUGCCGCGUGUGUGAAGAAGGCCUUAUGGUUGUAAAGCACUUUAAGCGAGGAGGAGGCUCUUUUGGUUAAUACCCAAGAUGAGUGGACGUUACUCGCAGAAUAAGCACCGGCUAACUCUGUGCCAGCCGCCGCAGUAA